AGAUUUUGUGAUUAAAUAAAUAAAGUACUGAUUAUUCCAAUAGUUGUGUGUAAUUAAUCUAAACGAACAAUAAUUAAUUAUCCAUACAUACGAUGAAAAGAACAAAGGAAAAUAACAUAAUAAUCUCAAUAAAUGGUGAUCGGUGGCAUUGUCUGAUGAACACUUUGCCAUGCACAGUUCAAUGUGUUCCUCACUGUUAUCUUGCUUCCCUAUAUUAUUGCCCGAAGUGUUUUUACUUUCGCCGUUACAAAAACUGUUUAUUUACAGCGUACGAAGUCCCAUCCAAUAAACAGAGAAGAUAAUAUCGCGAUCCAUUGAGAAAAGAAGGCCACGAUAAAGAAGAAUGGAAUUCAAAAGCUGCUGAAAAAAUAUGGAAAAAGAACGAGUUCUUGGCAUACAAUGCUGACACGAGAAAUAUUCUAUUAAUUACAAAAAAAGGAUGCUAAAUGACAGCUGGGCCUUCAGUUUACAAAUUAUAAA
rnacentral:lncRNA from 1 species